GCGCUGCACCCGGACGGGGCCGAGGGGACCUGAAAGCUGCGGCAGAGCCUGACCGCGCCGUUCUCCAGAAGAGCCCCGGCCGCGGCUGAGUCGCGCUCCGGGUGUGGACGGAGCCGGAGCCUCCCCGGGGCUCGGUGAGGACACAGGGCCCAAGCCCCGGACCUUCAAGUCUUGACCGAGCGCAUCCCCGGCCCUUCUGCGCCCACACCUGAGUUUUUGUCUGUAGGAGUUUCCGCAGUUUGCUAAGAAUCGACAUCUAGAGGAGUACUCACCACUUAAUUGAUGAUCAAUACACGUUCCUUGAAAGAACCGAUAGCAUGCGAUCGAUACAGAGCAUCUGCACUGGGAUUGUCCGCCCCGCCUGUCAGGGAGGCCUCGGGGGCUAAUGGAGCUGAGGGUAUAGUCGGCCUUGGACCCUCGCUUUUUUCCUUUCCUGUACUAUGAAGAUAACUGCCUUAUCUCCCCCUCAGGACUGUUUUGGGGAUUAAAUAGGACGUUUAAAUUACCAACGCUCUUUGAAAUAAACAUUUCAAAAUUAUUAUAACCCUUUAGUACAUGUGGGAAAACGUUGACAUUCAUGUUCAAGUUUAUUUUUCUGCUGGCUCAUUUAGGUUUGUUGAAGCCUUGAGUCCCUAGGAUUGUCUAAGAACAUGGGUAAAUGUGUGUGGAGGCCUCCCUGGAGGCCAGAGAACUGCCAGCAGCCUUCAUGAUGUUAGGGGAACAGGAACCUAGGAGAGCCAGGGUGACAUCGUUUUAAAAUCAACAACCCAUCUUGGCGGGCGCGGUGGCUCAAGCCUGUAAUCCCAGCAGUUUGGGAGAAAAAAAUUAGCCGGGUGUGGUGGUGGGCACCUGUAAUCUCAGCUACUCAGGAGGCUGAAGCAGAAUUGCUUGAACCCAGGAGGCAGAGGUUGCAGUGAGCUGAGAUCACGCCAUGGCACUCUAGCCUGGGCAACAAGAAUGAAACUCUGUCUCAAAAAAAUAAAAAUAAAAUAAAAUAAACUCCAUCUUAAAACCAGUGAAACCACCAUUGCAAAAUUAUAACUGAGACAGUGAGAGAUCUGACCUAACCAACUCCAUCCUACUUUUAACCUCCAAACUGUCCUUGUUCAUUCCUGGGUGUAGGCCAAACUAACUUUGGAAGAAACUUAGUUUAUGGUUUCCCGAAACAAAUCCUUUUCUUGUCUGGAGACUAGACUGCCUUUGUAGGACUAACAAAUUAGCCACAAGAUUAGAAAUUAUGGUUUAGAAUUCAUGCAGCUGGAGAUUACAAGAUUCUGACCCUCCCUAAAUUGCUCCUGGGGAUAACAUCACUAUUGAAAAACCUAACAACAGUGCUUGAGAUAUUUUGCAGACCUUGCACUUGCUGAAUUAGCUGGGACCAUCCAGAUGGAUAAACUGGCUCAUCUGAUCUUGUGGCCCGCACUCAGCAACCGGCUCAGGCCAAGAGGACAGCUUUGAUCCAUACGAUUUCAUCUCUGAUCUGACCCCUCAGUGCUCCCAGCUUACUGGCCCCCUACCUACCAAAUUAUCCUUAAAAACUCUGAACUCCAGGGCUGGGCACGGUGGCUCACACCUGUAAUCCCAGGACUCUGGGAGGCCGAGGCAGGCGGAUCACUUGAGGUCAGAAGUUCAAGACCAGCCUGGCCAACAUGGCAAAACCCCGUCUCUACUAAAAAUACAAAAAUUAGCCAGGCGUGGUGGUGCACGCCUGUAAUGCCAACUACUUGGGAGCCUGAGGCAGGAGAAUUGCUUGAACCCUGAAGGCGGAGGUUGCAGUGUGCUGAAAUCGCACCACUGCACUCCAGCCUGGGCAACAGAGCAAGACUCCAUCUCAAAAACAACAGCAAAAACUCUGAACUCCGAAUUCUUGGGGAAAUUGAUUUGAGUAAUAAUAAAACUCUGGUCUCCCGCACAGCCAGCUCUGUGUGGAUUAUUCUUUCUCUAUGCAGUUCACCUGUUUGGAUAAAUCAGCUCUGUGUAGGCAACAUGAACCUGAUUGGCAGUUACAGUAGCCUGUAAUCCCAGCUACGUGGGAGGCUGAGGCAGGAGAAUUGCCUGAACCUGGGAGGCGGAGGUUGCAGUGAGCCGAGAUCAUGCCACUGCACUCCAGCCUGGGCAACAG
rnacentral:lncRNA from 1 species